rnacentral:rRNA from 1 species
CCUACGGGGGGCUGCAGUGGGGAAUAUUGGACAAUGGGGGCAACCCUGAUCCAGCCAUGCCGCGUGUGUGAAGAAGGCCCUCGGGUUGUAAAGCACUUUCAGUGAGGAAGAACGCCUGGUGGUUAAUACCCAUCAGGAAAGACAUCACUCACAGAAGAAGCACCGGCUAACUCCGUGCCAGCAGCCGCGGUAAUAUGGAGGGUGCGAGCGUUAAUCGGAAUUACUGGGCGUAAAGCGCGCGUAGGUGGCUUGAUAAGCCGGUUGUGAAAGCCCCGGGCUCAACCUGGGAACGGCAUCCGGAACUGUCAAGCUAGAGUGCAGGAGAGGAAGGUAGAAUUCCCGGUGUAGCGGUGAAAUGCGUAGAGAUCGGGAGGAAUACCAGUGGCGAAGGCGGCCUUCUGGACUGACACUGACACUGAGGUGCGAAAGCGUGGGUAGCAAACAGGAUUAGAUACCCGGGUAGUC